rnacentral:tRNA from 1 species
GUCUCUGUGGCGCAAUCGGUUAGCGCUGUUGUCUGUUAACUGAAAGGUUUGUUGUUCAACUCCUCCCAGGGACG